UACAACUAUAUCUAGUCAAAUAUUAUUUACUGUCAUCCUGGCAAAGAGAAAAUAAAUCAGUAAUUAGAAAUGAGUUAUUAAGACUAUUAUGAUUAAAGAUGUGUUGAAAAAAAACUUCUCUGCUUUAAAGAGAAAUUGGGGGAAAAAUAAACAGGGUAUCUUAUAAUUCAGGGGGCUAAUAAACCUGACUUCAACUGUAUACAAACAUAUUUUUCUGGCAAACAUGUUACAUAACAUGCUUUAUACAUUUAUGUGACAUAUGUUUCAGGCAUAUAUAUUACAUGUAUGUUUCUGACAUUUAUGUGACAUACAGUGUAUGUUUCUGGCAUAUACAGUUGAAACCAGAAGGUUACAUACACUAAUAUAAAAAGGCACAUAACCAUUUAAAAAAGUCAGAUGUUGUGUGACUAAACUUUUUCUCAUUUAGGUAAAUUAGGAUUGUCAAAUUUGUUUCUGUUAUGCUUAAUAGCAGAAUAAUGAGAGAGAUAUUUUUUAAGAAAUUGUUAUAACGGUCACACUUUACAAUAAGAUUAUUAUGCAUCUGAAAAAGUUCAGAUGAUGGUGUCAAGGUUUUGGAAGUUUCUAAUUGGCUAAUUGACAACAUUUAAGUUAAUUGGAGGCACAGCUGUAGAAUAGUAUUUAGGGAAAACC
ensembl:processed_transcript